rnacentral:rRNA from 1 species
GACGAACGCUGGCGGCGUGCUUAACACAUGCAAGUCGAACGAGGUCCAGCCUUCGGGCGAAGACCUAGUGGCGAACGGGUGAGUAACACGUGAGCAACCUGCCCCGAAGACUGGGAUAACAGCGGGAAACCGCUGCUAAUACCGGAUACCCCCACCGAACCGCAUGACUUGGUGAGGAAAUGGAUUCCGCUUCGGGAGGGACUCGCGGCCUAUCAGCUUGUUGGUGGGGUAACGGCCUACCAAGGCGACGACGGGUAGCUGGUCUGAGAGGACGAUC